rnacentral:antisense_RNA from 1 species
CUUCACCGACCCCAGCCACAACGGCUCGUCCCGGUCCCGGCCAUAGGUCGCCAGGAGUGCCUGGGCCUC